GAUGAACGCUGGCGGCGUGCCUAAUACAUGCAAGUCGAGCGAACGGACGAGAAGCUUGCUUCUCUGAUGUUAGCGGCGGACGGGUGAGUAACACGUGGAUAACCUACCUAUAAGACUGGGAUAACUUCGGGAAACCGGAGCUAAUACCGGAUAAUAUUUUGAACCGCAUGGUUCAAAAGUGAAAGACGGUCUUGCUGUCACUUAUAGAUGGAUCUGUGCUGCAUUAGCUAGUUGGUAAGGUAACGGCUUACCAAGGCAACGAUGCAUAGCCGACCUGAGAGGGUGAUCGGCCACACUGGAACUGAGACACGGUCCAGACUCCUACGGGAGGCAGCAGUAGGGAAUCUUCCGCAAUGGGCGAAAGCCUGACGGAGCAACGCCGCGUGAGUGAUGAAGGUCUUCGGAUCGUAAAACUCUGUUAUUAGGGAAGAACAUAUGUGUAAGUAACUGUGCACAUCUUGACGGUACCUAAUCAGAAAGCCACGGCUAACUACGUG
rnacentral:rRNA from 1 species